rnacentral:rRNA from 1 species
GGAACCUGCCUCUCAUGGGGGGACAACAGUUGGAAACGACUGCUAAUACCGCAUAANGUUUUCGGAUCGCAUGAUCUGAAACCAAGAUUAUUGCUGAGAGAUGGCCUCGCGUCUGAUUAGCUAGUUGGUGGGGUAACGGCUCACCAAGGCGACGAUCAGUAGCCGGUCUGAGAGGAUGAACGGCCACAUUGGGACUGAGAUACGGCCCAGACUCCUACGGGAGGCAGCAGUGGGGAAUAUUGGGCAAUGGGGGCAACCCUGACCCAGCAACGCCGCGUGAAGGAAGAAGGCUUUCGGGUUGUAAACUUCUUUUACCAGGGACGAAGACGUGACGGUACCUGGAGAAAAAGCCACGGCUAACUACGUG